AACCAGGGGGUGGCGACUGUUUACUAAAAACACAGGGCUCUGCGAAGUCGCAAGACGACGUAUAGGGUCUGACGCCUGCCCGGUGCUGGAAGGUUAAGGGGAGCUGUAAGCGUAAGCGAAGCAGUGAACUUAAGCCCCAGUAAACGGCGGCCGUAACAAUAACGGUCCUAAGGUAGCGAAAUUCCUUGUCGGGUAAGUUCCGACCCGCACGAAUGGCGUAAUGAUCUGGGCACUGUCUCAACAACAAAUCCGGUGAAAUUGUAGUGCAAGUGAAGAUGCUUGCUACCCGCAGUUGGACGGAAAGACCCCGUAGAGCUUUACUGUAGCUUAGCAUUGAAUUUCGGUAUUGUCUGUACAGGAUAGGUGGGAGACUUGGAAAUACCUUCGUCAGGGGGUAUGGAGUCAUCCUUGGGAUACCACCCUGACAGUACUGGAAUUCUAACGAAAGGCCAUGAAUCUGGUCGUCGGACAUUGUUAGGUGGGCAGUUUGACUGGGGCGGUCGCCUCCGAAAGUGUAACGGAGGCGCCCAAAGGUUCCCUCAGCGCGGUCGGAAAUCGCGCGUAGAGUGCAAAGGCAGAAGGGAGCCUGACUGCGACACAUACAAGUGGAGCAGGGACGAAAGUCGGGCUUAGUGAUCCGGUGGUACCUCGUGGGAGGGCCAUCGCUUAACGGAUAAAAGCUACCUCGGGGAUAACAGGCUGAUCUCCCCCAAGAGUCCACAUCGACGGGGAGGUUUGGCACCUCGAUGUCGGCUCGUCGCAUCCUGGAGCUGAAGUCGGUUCCAAGGGUUGGGCUGUUCGCCCAUUAAAGCGGCACGCGAGCUGGGUUCAGAACGUCGUGAGACAGUUCGGUCCCUAUCCGCUGCGGGCGCAGGAAAUUUGAGAGGAGCUGUCCUUAGUACGAGAGGACCGGGAUGGACUGACCUCUGGUGCACCAGUUGUCACGCCAGUGGCACAGCUGGGUAGCUAUGUCGGGAAGGGAUAAACACUGAAAGCAUCUAAGUGUGAAGCCCACCUCAAGAUUAGAUUUCCCAUGACGAAAGUCAGUAAGACUCCUUGAAGAACACAAGGUUGAUAGGUGAGAGGUGUAAGCAUGGUAACAUGUGUAGCUGACUCAUACUAAUAAGUCGAGGAC
rnacentral:rRNA from 1 species